rfam:Paenibacillus stellifer strain DSM 14472, complete genome.
UCCAUCGUGAGGUGGAAUCUGAAGGAAGCCGGAGGCAAAAGCACGGGCCAAGGUACACGAACUGGAUUCGAGGCUGUGCCAGUCGGAUGAGUCACCACUACAUGACGAAAUCCAAAGCCGCUAAGGGCUGGUGCGGUAAACUCCAGUGGUCGCGGGCGGAAAGAUGACGUU